GUGUCCGCUUCCUUUGCUUAGAAUGAAAGCGCAGGAGUGAUGCGGAACCAUGGUGAGGUCACAGUCGUUGCUGGGGUGGCAGGGCUUGGCCCUCGGUGGCGAGCAGAGCUGGUGCUCUAGUGAGCGAGUGGCACACAGAGACUGAGCUCUGAGCGUUUUGUGGCAAGGAUCAUCCUUGAGAGCCCGUCAGAAGCACCGCUGCGGCGUGUGUGUGACCUGGGCACAGCCUGGACUGACCUGGACCAAGAGGGUUCCACUCUGAAAGGUGAUCUUGGGUCCAAGCAGUCCCAGAGUGCAGCCGCCUCUUUCCAAGAGCGGGGAAUUCCUUUGGAGACAGCCCAACCUUGCUCCAAGAAGUUCCCCAUGCCUCAGAAAGGAGUCGACUGCCACUUCUAUUUCAACUCUGUCUGCUUUAAGGGAGACAGCUGUCCCUUCCGCCACUGCGAAGCGGCUCUGGGGAGUGAAGAGGUCUGCAAGCUGUGGAUGCAGGGUCGCUGUUCCAGCAGCGACUGCAGGCUCAGACACACAAAAAUUGAUGUGAGUGCUUGCCUAAAGAUGAGCUCUCCACUUCU